CCUACGGGAGGCAGCAGUAAGGAAUAUUGGUCAAUGGACGAAAGUCUGAACCAGCCAUGCCGCGUGGAGGAUGAAGGUCCUCUGGAUUGUAAACUUCUUUUAUAUGGGACGAAAAAAGGUCUUUCCAGAUCAACUGACGGUACCAUAUGAAUAAGCACCGGCUAACUCCGUGCCAGCAGCCGCGGUAAUACGGAGGGUGCAAGCGUUAUCCGGAUUCACUGGGUUUAAAGGGAGCGUAGGUGGGUUGGUAAGUCAGUGGUGAAAUCUCUGAGCUUAACUCGGAAACUGCCAUUGAUACUAUCAAUCUUGAAUACCGUGGAGGUCAGCGGAAUAUGUCAUGUAGCGGUGAAAUGCUUAGAUAUGACAUAGAACACCAAUUGCGAAGGCAGCUGGCUACACGAAUAUUGACACUGAGGCUCGAAAGCGUGGGGAUCAAACAG
rnacentral:rRNA from 1 species